CCAGAAAAUGGCCUUUGUGAUAAUGCCACUGAGAUUUAGAGCAUUAAAGCAAUCUCAUUAUCAGUUUACAUCCCCAGUUGGAAAUCGGAGAUUGUUCAGCACAUCAAACAGUAGAGCGGGGGCAUGUAAUGUGCAGCCCAAGGGCCAGAUGAGACCUGCUGAGUCAUAUAAUGUGGGCUCCAGCUGCCAUCUUCCUAUCUUGCCUUUAAAAUGGCAAUAAAGACCUUGAAUUAUAAAUGAGGGUUGGCUGGCUGACAUAUAUAAUGCGAAGAUUCUUUUUAUAUGGAAAGAAGGCCCGUACAGGUAUUGUUAAAGCAUUUGUACCAACUUCACUUACUUUUAGCAAGGUACAGAGUUCUAAUGUCAUUUUUAUUAUUUCCUUUGUGAUAAAACUAAUAUUCUCCAAGAUAUGGGGGAGGGGUUAUGUGAAUCUGCCAUCCUGAAAGGUACACAAAUAGUUUACUCAAAAUACCACUCAAUUUUUAUUUAUUUAUUUUUAAUUUACUCAUUCUUACAAAAAACACCACAAAAUAAUUGUCUUUUCUCUUUCUUGGGGGAUAAAAUCUGAGUGUGACCACGCUUCUGCAAAUUCUGGCUUUGCUUUGGGAAAGAAAUGUGUCUGUGUUGUGUCGUGGACCAUUGGGGAAUUAUGGAUGACAGGUACUAGAAGGUGAACUUCUGCAGUGCAGAACAUGGGGAAUAUGCAUUGACCUUGCAGGACCACUUCAGAAGCCCCCAGAAUACAUCAUCUGAGGGUCUGGAAGACACCAGCUAGUUCCUUUGAACUUGCAUCAUGACAGGGUCCUACUUCAUGUUUCUCACCGGGACAAUACGUGUGGAUUCCAGGUUUCUCCUUCCUUCGUGGCGUUCUGUCUCUUUUGCUUCACUGGGUAUGUGGUUGCUCAGCAUGUGAUGAAACUGAGUCUUCUGCAAGGACAACUAAACAACCAGUGUUAUUCAU